AUAACGAUACGAAGAAGGACGUGAUAAGCUGCGAAAAGCCAUGGGGAUUGGCACAUACGAAAUGAUCCAUGGAUAUCCGAAUGGGGUAACCCGAUACGUUGAAGACGUAUCACUGAUAAAAAUGUCAGAGCGAACGCAGGGAACUGAAACAUCUCAUUACCUGCAGGAAGAGAAAAUAAUAAUGAUUCCGAGAGUAGUGGUGAGCGAAAUUGGAACAGCCCAAACCGUUGUUGUUACGGCAAUGACGGGGUUGAAGGAGCACGACAAUCGAAGAGCGACAUAUAAGAACGACCUGGGAAGGUAGACCGCAGAGGGUGAAAGUCCCGUAUUAGAAAUGUCAGCUAUUAGAGAGUGUAAUCCUGAGUAAGGCGGGACCGGAGGAAUCCUGUCUGAAACAGCCGGCACCAUCCGGCAAGGCUAAAUACUACUAAGAGACCGAUAGUGGAAUAGUACUGUGAAGGAAAGGUGAAAAGAACCGUGAAUAACGGAGUGCAAUAGAACCUGAAACUGUGUACUUACAAGCGGUCGGAGCCACGAUAAGUGGUGACGGCGUGCCUUUUGCAUAAUGAGCCUACGAGUUAAUAAUUUUAGCGAGGUUAAGAUUUAAGAGGAUUGUAGCCGCAGCGAAAGCGAGUCUUAAUAGGGCGAUAAGUUAGAGUUAUUAGACGCGAAACUUAGUGAUCUACCCUUGGGCAGGAUGAAGUUCUGGUAACACAGAUUGGAGGUCCGAACCGGUAGCUGUUGAAAAAGCUUCGGAUGACCUGAGGGUAGGGGUGAAAGGCUAAUCAAACUGAGAGAUAGCUCGUACUCCCCGAAAAGCUUUUAGGAGCUGCCUUGAUAAUAGUUUACAGAGGUAGAGCUACUGAUAGGAUGCGGGGGCUUCACCGCCUACCAAUUCCUGACAAACUCCGAAUGCUGUAAAGUUAAGAUAUCAGGAGAAAGGCUGUGGGUGCUAAUGUCCACGGCCGAGAGGGCAAUAACCCGGACCAUCGGCUAAGGUCCCGGAAUGUAUGCUAAGUUGAAAUAACGCGGUAGGAUAGCAGAGACAGCUAGGAUGUUGGCUUGGAAGCAGCCAUUCAUUUAAAGAGUGCGUAACAGCUCACUAGUCGAGCCGUCCUGCAUGGAUAAUAAACGGGCAUAAGCAUACUACCGAAGCCAUGGAAUGAUAUGGUGACAUAUUGUUGGUAGGGGAGCAUUCUGUGAGAGAGGAAGCAGAGUCGUGAGGCUUUGUGGAUUGAACAGAAAAGCAAAUGUAGGCAUAAGUAACGAUAAUGAGAGUGAGAAACUCUCACACCGGAAGACCAAGGUUUCCUGAUCAACGAUAAUCGGAUCAGGGUAAGUCCGGACCUAAGGCGGAGCCGACAGGCGCAGUCGAUGGACAAUCGGUUAAUAUUCCGAUACCGGCUUAUAUGGCGAAGGAAUGACAAAGGAGCGGAAAGCAGGCGUGCUGACGGAAUAGCACGUUGAAUACGAAAGGUAGUGAAUUGUAGGCAAAUCCGCAAUUCAGCUGAACGUAGACAGUACAGAGAGCCGUAAGGUGAUUUGAUACAUGCCGGAAGCCGACUUUCGAGAAAACUUUCUAAGCAUACAUAUAAGCCGCCGGUACCGUAAACCGACACAGGUGGUCGAGGAGAGAAUCCAAAGGUGCUCGAGUGAACCGUGGCUAAGGAACUAGGCAAAUUAGUCCUGUAACUUAGGGAAAAAGGACCCCUACGGGAGUAGGGCGCAGAGAAAUGGUCCAGGCGACUGUUUAACAAAAACACAUGGCUUUGCGAAAUUGUAAGAUGAAGUAUAAGGCCUGACACCUGCCCGGUGCCGGAAGGUUAAGAGGAGAUGUCAUCGCGAGAGAAGCAUUGAAUUGAAGCCCCGGUAAACGGCGGCCGUAACUAUAACGGUCCUAAGGUAGCGAAAUUCCUUGUCGGGU
rnacentral:rRNA from 1 species